rnacentral:rRNA from 1 species
UGAGGAAUAUUGGGCAAUGGGCGAAAGCCUGACCCAGCCACGCCGCGUGAGUGAUGAAGGCCUUCGGGUUGUAAAGCUCUGUGGGGAGGGAAGAAAAAGCGGGAGAGUAACUGCUCUCGUGUUGACGGUACCUCCUUAGCAAGCACCGGCUAACUCUGUGCCAGCAGCCGCGGUAAUACAGAGGGUGCAAACGUUGCUCGGAAUUACUGGGCGUAAAGCGCGUGUAGGCUGACAUGCAAGUCGGGUGUGAAAUCCCAGGGCUCAACCUUGGAACUGCACUCGAAACUGCACGUCUUGAGUACUGGAGAGGGAAGCGGAAUUCCGGGUGUAGAGGUGAAAUUCGUAGAUAUCCGGAGGAACACCAGUGGCGAAGGCGGCUUCCUGGACAGUAACUGACGCUGAGACGCGAAAGCGUGGGGAGCAAACAG